GCGUGCCUAACACAUGCAAGUCAAGCGAUCUUCUUCGGAAGAGAGCGGCGGACGGGUGAGUAACGCGUGGGUAACCUGCCCUGUACACACGGAUAACAUACCGAAAGGUAUGCUAAUACGGGAUGAUAUAUGAAAGUCGCAUGGCUUUUAUAUCAAAGCUCCGGCGGUACAGGAUGGACCCGCGUCUGAUUAGCUAGUUGGUAAGGUAACGGCUUACCAAGGCGACGAUCAGUAGCCGACCUGAGAGGGUGAUCGGCCACACUGGAACUGAGACACGGUCCAGACUCCUACGGGAGGCAGCAGUGGGGAAUAUUGCACAAUGGGCGAAAGCCUGAUGCAGCAACGCCGCGUGAGCGAUGAAGGCCUUCGGGUCGUAAAGCUCUGUCCUCAAGGAAGAUAAUGACGGUACUUGAGGAGGAAGCCCCGGCUAACUACGUGCCAGCAGCCGCGGUAAUACGUAGGGGGCUAGCGUUAUCCGGAAUUACUGGGCGUAAAGGGUGCGUAGGCGGUCUUUCAAGCCAGAAGUGAAAGGCUACGGCUCAACCGUAGUAAGCUUUUGGAACUGUAGGACUUGAGUGCAGGAGAGGAGAGUAGAAUUCCUAGUGUAGCGGUGAAAUGCGUAGAUAUUAGGAGGAAUACCAGUAGCGAAGGCGGCUCUCUGGACUGUAACUGACGCUGAGGCACGAAAGCGUGGGGAGCAAACAGGAUUAGAUACCCUGGUAGUCCACGCCGUAAACGAUGAGUACUAGGUGUCGGGGGUUACCCCCCUCGGUGCCGCAGCUAACGCAUUAAGUACUCCGCCUGGGAAGUACGCUCGCAAG
rnacentral:rRNA from 1 species